rnacentral:ncRNA from 1 species
UUUAGUUCCGUCAUGAACGAAAGUGAAAAGGGAAUCGGGUGAAAAUCCCGGACUAUCCCGUAGCUGUGAACUCUAUGGAGGUUCCGCAAGUCUUGUACCACUGAUAUUUAUCGGGAAGGUAGCGGAAAAAGAGUAAGUCAGAAGACCUGCCAAAUCAAU